AUUAAUCGGCUGCCUGAGUCCGGAGUACUGAUUGUUUGCUGCCGCGGCCUUGAUUUGAUCGCUAGUUCUUCUCCUUCUCCUUGUUCUUGGACGGGACACGGCCGUCGGUGCCGGCGAGUAUGCUGUACUUCUCCUUUCGGGUGAUGGUGGUGCACUCGAAGCCGAGCUGCCCGCUGAGCGUCUUCUGGAUGUAAUUGGCCACCUCGAUGGGCGACUUGCCACCGCUGCAGGUGAGCUCCUUGGGCAGCUGGUUCAGGAACGUGACCUCGUACGUCGGCCGCGGGUUCAUGAAGAAGAAGUAGGGGUCCAUGAUCUUGAAGCCGCGCACGGUUGAGCCGUGGAACAUGCUCUCCUUGGUGUUGAUGGCCACGGGCACGAUGCGGUCGGUGAGCUCGGCGAACAGGGCGCUGAAGCGCAGUAGGAAGGGCUCGCGGCAGGUGGUGCCCUCGGGGCAGAUGACGAGGUCGCCCUCCUCCAGCAGGCGUCGGAUGUUCUCGGCGU
rnacentral:lncRNA from 1 species